rnacentral:rRNA from 1 species
GUGCCAGCAGCGGCGGUAAUACGUAGGUGGCAAGCGUUGUCCGGAAUUAUUGGGCGUAAAGCGCGCGCAGGCGGCCUUUUAAGUCUGAUGUGAAAGCCCACGGCUUAACCGUGGAAGGUCAUUGGAAACUGGAAGGCUUGAGUACGGAAGAGGAAAGCGGAAUUCCACGUGUAGCGGUGAAAUGCGUAGAGAUGUGGAGGAACACCAGUGGCGAAGGCGGCUUUCUGGUCUGUAACUGACGCUGAGGCGCGAAAGCGUGGGAGCAAACAGGAUUAGA